ACCCUAACAGAACGACUCGCCCUUCCAUGCGCUAAGCUGGGCAGAGCGCUUUCAGAAAGAGGACUGUACCGAUUAUAGAGUAGCAUUCUUCUCCUUCACAUCGUCGGUCAACUCUGGGGACAGUGGAUAGAGCUCGUCCCUAUUUGACUGAAGAGGGUAGGGUUCGCUCCUAUGACAAGUGCUGCUUGUUGACUGCCACAGACCGGCUUUCCUCAGUCGUUGACUGUGGCGAGGCUAGCCCUCUAUCAAGAGAAGAAGUUUUCCUGAAUCAAUGAGAGAGAUCAAUGUGCGAAUUUCCUUUCCAAUCUACCUCGUGGUUGAGAGAAAUGCGCCUGACUCGAUCGGUACCACUCCAACUGGCUUGGCUGGAAGGGGCUAUAAAAGGACCUGAUUGAGAUCACACUUCUUUUGGCCUGGAGAGGAGUCUGACGUACUUCCAACACUCAGAGAAUGCUUAAGAACUGGCCAGCAAACAAAGAGAUCUGAUGCUCGACUGCCUAAAAGAAAGAAAGCCCGGUAUGGAUAUUCAUUCCGCUAGAGCAAAGGCAUGAAGUGAAGGAGGCCGCUAAGGUUGAGCCUUACUAAUUUUAAAGAGUCAUAUUCAAUCACCCGGAAAUAUCCGCAUCUGCGAAUAGAAGCUGUGGAGGGAGAUCCAUGCAAUGGCAUUUCAUCAACAGAUACCACUUCUUCUUCCCUGCUUGGGCAUUUGGAACUGUUAGCAGUUGAGGACGAACUUCAGGCUUUCUAUGAGUGGAAAUCCGAUUAGCGAACCCUCUUUCGUACCUCCGCCUUUCCCUUCUAGUCAUGGUCACCAUUUUGUUAUCACCGCGUAAGACUACUUCACCAAGUGGGUUGAAGCAAUACCAAUAGCCUUAAGAUUGGAAAGUCGCUUUUAAGCCCAAGUGCAACCAAACUAGCAGGAAAUGAAAGCAGAAAUGGAUCUGUGUCACUGUCUGUAUGCUUGUCUUCAAGAAUCAAUCAACCAAAGAAGCAAUCAACAAAUCAAGUUGAGGUAUCAAAGUCUAUCCUGUCUUCUUUCGUUUCGACCCUGAUGUAUGAGAUGAGGAAUCCCUCAUAGCUAGAUUCAUCAGUAGCUUAGAAACUAGGAACUGGAUGAGGGGAAGAGAUGAGAAUAGGCCUCGCCCAUUCCAUUACGGCAUUCUCUUCUUGAUCACCGGAUAUUGAUAGAAAAACAGUCACACCAAAAGAAAGACUCAGGGGGAGCCUGCGGCAAGGGUCAGAUUGACCCUAGGCUUAAUGCCCCAACGAGCACAGUCAGAAGAGAAGCCUUUGGGCAACUCGAUAGGAAUCAGAGGAGAAAGAUAGAGUCAUUGCCGUUCUAACCGCUGUCAGAAGACGUGAAGUGAGGGCGUGGUUCAAGUCACAUCGUAUGCUCGUCUUCAUAAAGGUUUGAGUUUGAUUGUUUGUUGCCAAAGAGAAGAGUUCAUUGUUUAGGUCCU
rnacentral:lncRNA from 1 species